CGGGGACCAUGUUCUUGACCUGACCCUCAAACGUGUCAGCAUUACCUCUCAGGAAUGGGGUAACGACGACAGAGCAGCAGAGACAGUCUACAGCAGGUCCCCUCCAUGGAGAACUCUCUCUACAUUUGGCAACACACCAUCCUCCUGACCUCUUUCACCUCUCUCUCGUUCCCUCUAUUCUCACUCGCUCGCUCUCUCUCUAUUCCUUUUUCUGUCUAUCUUCUUAUGUCUCUCUCCCUGACCCUUCUCAUCUCUAUACAGUACUUCUCUUCAUGCUCCCUGUCCUUCUUUCUGAUCUCUUGUUCUCUCUGUCACCUUUCCUUUCCCUCUCUAUCCUUCUUUUCGCUCUCCAUAAACCCUUUCCCUCUCGAUCCCUCUCCAUACUUCUUCUCUCUCUUUCCCUCUCCAUCCUUCUUUUCUCUCUCCAUAAACCCUUUCCCUCUCUAUCCCUCUCUUCUCUCUCCCUGAACCCUUUCCCUCUCUAUCCCUCUCUUCUCUCUCCCUGAACCCUUUCCCUCUCUUCUCUCUCCCUGAACCCUUUCCCUCUCUAUCCCUCUCUUCUCUCUCCCUGAACCCGUUUCUUUUCUAUCCCUCUCUUCUCUCUCCCUGAACCCUUUCCCUCUCUAUCCCUCUCUUCUCUCUCCCUGAACCCUUUCCCUCUCUAUCCCUCUCUUCUCUCUCCCUGAACCCUUUCCCUCUCUAUCCCUCUCUUCUCUCUCCCUGAACCCUUUCCCUCUCUAUCCCUCUCUUCUCUCUCCCUGAACCCUUUCCCUCUCUAUCCCUCUCUAUCCGUCUCUUUUCUCUCCCUGAACCCGUUUCUUUUCUAUCUAUCUAUAUUAAUUGAUCUAAAAGGUCAACCUAGUCUCUUUGACUUCCUCCACCUCUUGGACAUCUAAGCAACAACCACAUGUCUAAUCAUACAUCACAACUCUCUCUAUCUAUGGGAAACAUGUUCUCUCUGUUUACAUUUCUGGCUGAAAAAAUAGCCGUGAUUACAGGAACAGAGGAGUCUACAUUUCCUCUAACGUGUUUAGUUUCACAAGUUUGCAUUAGGUCACUUUCACUGAAUCUUAUUGAAUUUCAUCAGUUGUUUCAUGUACAUAAAAUGUAUUUUAUAAUAAAAGCUGUAAUUUAAUUAUAGCGGCUUCAUG